UACGUAGGGUGCAAGCGUUACUCGGAUUUACUGGGCGUAAAGCGCGCGCAGGCGGUUUUGCAAGUCAGAUGUGAAAUCCCCGGGCUUAACCUGGGAACUGCAUUUGUGACUGCAUCGCUAGAGUACGGUAGAGGGGGAUGGAAUUCCGCGUGUAGCAGUGAAAUGCGUAGAUAUGCGGAGGAACACCGAUGGCGAAGGCAAUCGCCUGGACCUGUACUGACGCUCAUGCACGAAAGCGUGGGGAGCAAACAGG
rnacentral:rRNA from 1 species